rnacentral:rRNA from 1 species
GAUGAACGCUGGCGGCGUGCCUAAUACAUGCAAGUCGAGCGAACAGAUGAGGAGCUUGCUCCUCUGACAUUAGCGGCGGACGGGUGAGUAACACGUGGAUAACCUACCUAUAAGACUGGGAUAACUUCGGGAAACCGGAGCUAAUACCGGAUAAUAUAUUGAACCGCAUGGUUCAAUAGUGAAAGACGGUUUUGCUGUCACUUAUAGAUGGAUCCGCGCCGCAUUAGCUAGUUGGUAAGGUAACGGCUUACCAAGGCAACGAUGCGUAGCCGACCUGAGAGGGUGAUCGGCCACACUGGAACUGAGACACGGUCCAGACUCCUACGGGAGGCAGCCGUAGGGAAUCUUCCGCCAUUGGCGAAAGCUUUACGGAGCAACGCCGCGUGAGUUAUGAAGGUCUUCGGAUCGUAAAACUCUGUUAUUAGGGAAGAACAAAUGUGUAAGUAACUAUGCACGUCUUGACGGUACCUAAUCAGAAAGCCACGGCUAACUACGUG